rnacentral:rRNA from 1 species
GGGAAACUGAGGGUAAACCUGAAUAUGGGAAUCGUUCUGGAAAGAAUUCUCCUUUAAAGGUAACGCCUAAGGAUGAGACAGCGGCCGAUUAGGUAGAUGGUGGGGUAAUGGCCCACCAUGCCAAUGAUCGGUAAGGGCCUUGGAAGAGGGAGCCCUGAGAAGGGAACUGAGAUACUUUCCCUAGCCCUACGGGGUGCAGCAGGCGCGAAAACUUUACAAUGCGCGAAGGCGUGAUAAGGGUACCCCAAGUGCUUAUACACAGCAUAGGCUUUUGCCAAGUGUAAAUAGCUUGGCGAAUAAGCGGUGGGUAAGACUGGUGCCAGCCGCCGCGGUAACACCAGCGCCGCAAGUGGGGACCGGUUUUAUUGGGCCUAAAGCGUCCGUAGCAGGUCAUGCAAAUCUCUUGUGAAAUUGUCCGGCUUAACCGGGCAGCGUGCGGGAGACACUACAUGACUAGGGACCGGGAGGAGUCAGAGGUAUUUCGGGAGGAGCGGUAAAAUGCUAUAAUCCUCGAGGGACCACCGAUGGCGAAGGCAUCUGGCCAGAACGGAUCCGACUGUGAGGGACGAAAGCUAGGGGAGCGAACCGGAUUAGAUACCCGGGUAGUCCUAGCCGUAAACGCUGCGAGUUAGGUGUUACGUAAACUUCGAGUUUGCGUAGUAUCGUAGAGAAGUCGAUAAACUCGCCGCCUGGGAAUCAUGGUCGCAAGGCUGAAACUUAA